rnacentral:rRNA from 1 species
AGGACGAACGCUGGCGGCGUGCUUAACACAUGCAAGUCGAGCGGAAAGGCCCUUCGGGGUACUCGAGCGGCGAACGGGUGAGUAACACGUGAGUAACCUGCCCCUAGCUCUGGGAUAGCUCCGGGAAACCGGGAUUAAUACCAGAUACGACCACUUUAGACAUCUUUUGUGGUGGAAAGGAUUCCGGCUAGGGAUGGGCUCGCGGCCUAUCAGCUUGUUGGUGGGGUAACGGCCUACCAAGGCGACGACGGGUA